UCUGGAUAAACUUGUAUUCACCCAAGAGAGUGGAGCAAGUCACUUUACGGAAUUAUAAUUAAGUAACACAUUUUGGAAUUGAUAAAGACUUACAUAUAAGUGAAAUUCCGAAAUGUUAGGAUAACUGUACAUCCUUUAAUAUAUUUUAUAUUAUAAAAGCAAUCUUGAAUAUCUUUGAUUAAGUUUUCAAGUUACGCUUGU
ncrna:unclassified sequences IS605-orfB-I RNA